rnacentral:rRNA from 1 species
UACAGAGGGUGCAAGCGUUAAUCGGAAUUACUGGGCGUAAAGGGAGCGUAGGCGGAUAGUUUAGUCAGAGGUGAAAGCCCAGGGCUCAACCUUGGAAUUGCCUUUGAUACUGGCUAUCUUGAGUACGGAAGAGGUAUGUGGAACUCCGAGUGUAGAGGUGAAAUUCGUAGAUAUUCGGAAGAACACCAGUGGCGAAGGCGACAUACUGGUCCGUUACUGACGCUGAGGCU